CCUGGUUUAGCCUAGGGGUGACAUUUAGAUUCGAGUUUAUUCUCGGAUCGACCCCUUCUUCUUUGAUUAAUAAGAAUUAAUUAUUGAAGAUACAUCACUCUCACUCUCACUGUCUCUAUUUUUAUUCUUUGAAUGUUUAUAUACUUCACAAACACCCGUCUCAACGAAAGAAGAAGUUGCAUCGUUCUAACAGGGCCGCAAAAGGGGACCAACAAGUGGUAUCAGAGCUGAUUGGAUAAAUUAUUUCAAAGAUCCCUUGCUCCUGUAAGAGAGACGUAUAUUCAUGAUCUGUUAAAGCCUCAUCAAUCGACAGCCUAAACACUUAUCCUAUAUUGGAUAGAAGAUACGUAUAUCCUAGUUGUUGGGGAUACAAGAUAUAAUGCUUACAUUUAGGUGGAAUUAUAAAUCGAGGUGAAGAAUUAUAACAACAAAAGAAAUAUAAUCAGAUGAUCAUCCAUAAAAAGUCGGACGUUUGCCAAAUAAACUCUCAAGCCAAUGAAGAUACAAUCAACGGAUAUCAUUAAAAAGAUGCCUACAUGAUAA